rnacentral:tRNA from 1 species
GCACCCGUAGCUCAGUGGAUAGAGCGUUGGCCUCCGGAGCCAAAGGUCAGAGGUUCGAAUCCUCUCGGGUGCGCCA